AACGCACGAGACCUGCGGACCUGCGGAAGGAUCAUUAUCAAUUUACAGCGGACUUCGGUCCUGUCUGCACCCUUGUCUUUUGCGUACUAUAUGUUUCCUCGGUGGGCUUGCCUGCCGAUAGGACACUUAUAAACUCUUUUGUAAUUGCAAUCAGCGUCAGAAAACUAUAAUAGUUACAACUUUUAACAACGGAUCUCU
rnacentral:misc_RNA from 1 species